rnacentral:rRNA from 1 species
UACAGAGGGGGCAAGCGUUAUUCGGAAUUAUUGGGCGUAAAGGGCGCGUAGGCGGCCAUUCAAGUGACGGGUGAAAUCCCUCGGCUUAACCGAGGAACUGCCUGUCAGACUGGAUGGCUUGAGACCGGGAGAGGUGAGUGGAAUUCCCAGUGUAGCGGUGAAAUGCGUAGAUAUUGGGAGGAACACCAGUGGCGAAGGCGGCUCACUGGACCGGAACUGACGCUGAGGCGCGAAAGCGUGGGGAGCAAACAGG